AUACCUUUCUCGGCCUUUUGGCUAAGAUCAAGUGUAGUAUCUGUUCUUAUCAGUUUAAUAUCUGAUAUGUGGUCCAUCGGGCCACACGAUAUUAAUUCUAUUUUUCAAGGGAGAAAGCUCUACAAGAUAGCUUGCUAUCUAGGCUUUUGCGAGUCGCCCAUGCGUUGCACUACUGCAUUGGCCUGGCUCAACCGAC
rfam:Arabis alpina cultivar Pajares chromosome 6, whole genome shotgun sequence.